ACAUGAAAACAGGGGCGCCGUGAGGCUGAGAUCUGCUGGAAGCAGAGACCCUUGAACCUGAUCCGGGUAAUGCCGGCGUAGGUAGUUUGCGGAAAGGUCCC
rfam:Faecalibacterium prausnitzii L2/6 draft genome.